rnacentral:rRNA from 1 species
AUUGAACGCUGGCGGCAUGCCUUACACAUGCAAGUCGAACGGCCGCACGGGUGCUUGCCCCUGGUGGCGUGUGGCGCACGGGGGAGUAAUACAUCGGAACAAGUCCUCUAGUGGGGGAUAGCACGGCGAAAGACGGAUUACUACUGCCUACGAUCUACUGAUGACAGCGGGGUCCCUUCUGACAUCGCGCUUUAGGGUUGGCUGAUGGCUGAUUCGCUCGUUAGUGGGGUAAAGGUCUACCAAGGCGACGCCAAGGAGACGGUCUGUGAGGGAGAACAGCCACACUGGGACUUAGACACGGCCCAGACUCCUACGGGAGGCAGCAGUGGGGAAUUUUGGACAAUGGGCGAAAGCCUUAUCCAGCAAUGCCGCGUGUGUGAAGAAGGCCUUCGGGUUGGAAAGCACUUUUGUCCGGUAAGAAAUACUUGGCCCUAAUACGGUCGGGGGAUGACGGUACCGGAAGAAUAAGCACCGGCUAACUACGUG